rnacentral:rRNA from 1 species
AUUGAACGCUGGCGGCAGGCCUUACACAUGCAAGUCGAACGGCAGCGCGGGCCUCGGCCUGGCGGCGAGUGGCGAACGGGUGAGUAAUGCAUCGGAACGUGCCCAGUAGUGGGGGAUAGCCCGGCGAAAGCGGGAUUAAUACCGCAUACGACCUGAGGGUGAAAGCGGGGGACCGAAAGGCCUCGCGCUAUUGGAGGGGCCGAUGUCGGAUUAGCUAGUUGGUGGGGUAAAGGCUUACCAAGGCGACGAUCCGUAGCUGGUCUGAGAGGACGACCAGCCACACUGGGACUGAGACACGGCCCAGACUCCUACGGGAGGCAGCAGUGGGGAAUUUUGGACAAUGGGGGCAAGCCUGAUCCAGCCAUGCCGCGUGCGUGAAGAAGGCCUUCGGGUUGUAAAGCGCUUUUGUUCGGGAAGAAAUGCUCCGGGCUAAUACCCCGGGGUGAUGACGGUACCGGAAGAAUAAGCACCGGCUAACUACGUG